rnacentral:ncRNA from 1 species
GAUCGUUGAGGUCCGUGUUGUGGUCUUAGCUGUUAUAUGGAUAUUUACAUGUAGGUUUAAGCGAGUAGUAGAACAAAUAAAAUUUUAAUGGAAAUUCUCAGUAGAAAAUAUUAGAAAUAUACGUAUUGUUUUAUCUAGGUAAUUUUUCAGAAGUGGAAAACGGAGUGCCAGCAGCCGCGGUUAUACUCCUGCUUCAAGUUAAGAGUGAUAUACGAGAUAAUUUCUAUGGCGGAGUGAGGAAUUUUUUUCAGAUUAUUAAGUAGAAUUUUAAUUUGAACUAAAGACAUGGAAACAUAGAAAUGAGAAUUAUAGUAUGAACCAGGAUUAGAUACCCUGCUACUUAUAAUGAGAAAAUCUUGGAAUAGUAAUAAUUAAUGAAAUUUAACGGAUUUGGCGGCAAGAUAGCCAUUUAGAGGAACCUGCCCUGUGAACGAUGAGCCACGAAAACCCUACUUUUAUUUGUAUACAGUUUGUAUACCGCUGUUGUCAGUUAGUUUCUUUAGAAAACUCUCGUGCAUGAUAAAAUCAUUGACUUCAAGUAAAGGUGCAGCUAAUAUAAAAGAUAGAGGUGGGUUACAUUUAUAAGAGUAAAACGGAUAAAGUACAUGAAAAGUCUUUUGAAGGUGGAUUUAAUUGUAAAGUUUAAGAAAACUUGAUGGGAGCUCUGUCUUGUGUACACACCGCCCGUCGCUCUCUUCUUAAAACGAGAUAAGUCGUAACAAGGUAAGUGUAAUGGAAAUUGUACUUGAUGAGAA